rnacentral:rRNA from 1 species
AUGGCCAGCCUCUGUGCCAAGGCCAGCGCCGGCCAUCUCCGCGUCUACGGCCCGGCGUUGUUUCACGAAGGCGCCCUGUCCAUGGAGGAGAGGGAGCAGGACACAUCACUCCUCCUCCUCAAGAUCGGGCACCACCGCGACGAAGCCGUCAAGCUGCUCGCCUCACACCCCGAUCUGCUACGCUUCCUCGAGGCGGCGACCUGCGUCGGCCUGCUCGAUCCGGUCUCCAACAUAGUCGUCAGCGCCCUGCUUGCCGCCGCCGCAGAUCCCGUCGGCGUCGACGGGCCCAAGCUCAUGGACAUGGAGCGGCGCUCCCUCGAUGGCCUCGUCGCCUUCCUCACCUGCUUCUUCCCUUACCUCACCGACUGGGAGGCCGUCAGGUACCUUCUCCUCGCCGAAGCCGACCCCCUCGUCGCCGCGCGCAUCGUCGUCGAGGACCGCCGCACCAAGUGCUUCCGCCCAGCAUCCGUGUCCCUCCGAGCUCGCAGGCGUUUGGCUGUCCUUGUGCUCCUCCCUCGACACCCUCGAGAAGGCCGCCUCCUUGCUCUCGGCGGUGAGCACGCCGCCAAGGUGACCCACCAGUAUUCCUGGUCACUAAGGCGAGUGCUCCUAUAUACGAUCCAUGGUUUCUACCUGCAGGCGCUCGCCAGGAUGCCGGGCGGCGAGCUGCGGUCUCGUUACCACCGGAGCAUGCUCAAGGCUGGCCAUUGCUACGGCCCUUUCGAUCCUGUCACCAACAUCAUCGUCAACACCAUCUGGUACGAAGUCACAUUCCCACCACUGAGUCAACUGGACGAGCUCGACAUCCUCGGCACCUUGAACCUGAUGCGGAUUGAAGCACGCUCCUUGUAUGGACUUGUCUCUUUCCUCUGCACCCAUGACAUAGAUCUCAAUGCCGAUCAGGCCAUAAGGUUCCUGCUCGACACGGAUCUCAACUUGGCCGCGACAAAGCUGUGCAGCGGUGUUCAGGAAGAACAAGAAGCCUUCAGGGCUGCUGCAAUUGCGGCAUGGCACCCCAGACCCGAUGCCCAAGCAGGAUUCCUCUGUUCAUGCUGGAAGCCUCAAGUCCUGUCGCUGCUGACAGAUAAUGGGGGCCAACAACAGCUCUCCUCUCAGUGUGUCCAGCAGCUUGCCAUGCUCUUGUCAUCUGCUUUCAAUUCCACUGGCAUGUCAGCCCAGCAGAAGCAGCCAGUUGCCGUUUACGAACGGGCGUUCAAUCUCAGCAUGUCAGAGGGACGCAAACAGCGAAGGGAUCAUAAAAGAAUCUCCAGAAAGGUCAAGGCUGCACUAAGCAGAUAUGAGAUGCAGAAUUCGGGGCACGCCUGUUAUCAGCUUCAUGUCAUCUGCGGUGUGAACAUAUCCGUAUCUGGCCGUGACUGGAAGCGAAAAACUCGUUUUGAUGAUGACUACUACCAUCACAUACAUGCCAACUUUCUGGUGAUGCGGGAUGUUGGCUCUGUAGGUUCAGUUCCAGUACUCUUCUUUGCUGAACUUAGCAAUGACGAUGAUGGCGACAAGGAUAGCCAGCUUUUAUGUUGCCCCGUGGAUUUUCCAACACCAGGGGCUGAGCCAGUGCGCUGCCUUUUCUGCGAGCUAGAAGGGAUCAGGAUUGUGCACCCGGCUAGUGGGGAGGGAUUCCAUGGGCACGAGGUGGAGUUUGGGAAGAUGGUCCGCGGAGAAGAUCUAUAUGACAACGGCUACUACCGGGAGGUGUACAACAACGGCCGCAUUCUAAGUAAUAGCGAUUAUAUUACGAACUGGAUCCACGAUGGACUCGAGGAGGACUACAUGUACCUAGGUAGCAAUGACUUCACCAUCAAGGAAGACGACGGUCAUGAGUCGGAUGAUUAUGGAGACGAGUAG